rnacentral:rRNA from 1 species
CAGCAGCCGCGGUAAUACGUAGGGUGCGAGCGUUAAUCGGAAUUACUGGGCGUAAAGCGUGCGCAGGCGGUUGUGUAAGACAGGUGUGAAAUCCCCGGGCUUAACCUGGGAACUGCGCUUGUGACUGCACAGCUAGAGUAUGGCAGAGGGGGGUGGAAUUCCACGUGUAGCAGUGAAAUGCGUAGAGAUGUGGAGGAACACCGAUGGCGAAGGCAGCCCCCUGGGCCAAUACUGACGCUCAUGCACGAAAGCGUGGGGAGCAAACAGGAUUAGAGACCCCUGUAGUCCCUGUCUCUUAUAC